UAUUCUGGUGUUUUAGGCGUAGAGGGACCACACCAACCCAUCCCGAACUUGGUGGUUAAACUCUACUGCGGUGAUGAUACUGUAGGGGAGGUCCUGUGGAAAAAUAGCCCGACGCCAGAAU
rnacentral:rRNA from 1 species